ACAGAAAAGAUACAGUUUGUCUUUUAUUAGGCUAAGGGUGCAUUCAGACUGAACCUGAAGGGAAUAUUUCACCUCACUUUAUUCUUUUUAUGGCUCUUUGUUUAUUUGGCAACGAAGGGAGACAGUUGAGGUGGAUGUUAGGCAUACAAAGUCAGGACUUUGUAAAAAUAAGGUUAAAUAGGUCUCAUUCUCAUUUCUUAUUAAACAACCCAGAUUAUGAUCUGUCCAUAACAUUAAAGAGGCCACGUUAGAGGCUUUGGGUUUUUUUCCCUUGUUUUUUAGUGUAUUAUAUAGAUUUUUUGUGCACGUAAAAGGUCUGAAAAGAGACAACUCCCAAAGUCUACACCAAGUGACACACCCUGUUUGUAAUCCCCCGUUUGCAGGAUGCAUGGAAACCCUGAAUGUCUGUUUUUAUUGUCUGUCAUCUCGCAACAGUAUUUUUUUUACUGUAUGUUAAUGUACAAGAUAAUUUCGUCUUUCAAAUGGGAAUGAGUAGGCUAUGUGGUCAAAUCAAAGAGCAACGAGUGUUGGGGGUCACAUAUUUGGCUAAGGAAAGGUAUGUGAUACUCACUCUCCCAUAGAGGCGCUGGAUAUCGAGUUGAAAGAGAUCAACUCAACUGUCUCUGAGUACUUUUUUCCCAUUUCAAACAGGACUUUCUUAUAGGAUAAGAACUCUCUGCCCUGUCCGAACACACUGUCCUGGUACACCUAGACGAUGGAAGGAGACAUGAAAAAAAGACUAAAAACUGAUGAGAACAAACGUCUCUUAGAUGUCAGUUUCCUUCCGUAAUCACCUCUUCAGCCAACAGGACGAGGCCCUCGGUUGCAGCAAAACGAAUCACCUCCUCCAUGGUUUUCCUGUCUUGCACAUGACCUAGCAGGACAAAUAAUACGCCCCCUGGCAGUCUUCAAAGCUUGGUGCAGCUCAUCCAGGUCUAAAGCCCAGCCUCGGCCCUCCAUCAGUUGGUAGGGCAUCAGCGCCACCCCGGUCUCAUCCAGCAGCAUGGGCAGGGUAUGCGGGCAGGGCACCGGGGUCAACACGCCUGUCUGAGUCUCCCCCUCGCCACUGGCCAUCAGGUGCAAAACCAGCUUAACACAGUAACAAUACCAUUAACAACAUGCUUUUAUUCUGCAUUAAAGUGUUUUGUAAGAGUGUUCAA